GAAGCUGGAAUCGCUAGUAAUCGCAGAUCAGCAUGUCGCGGUGAAUACGUUCCCGGGUCUUGUACACACCGCCCGUCACACCAUGGGAGUCAGCAACGCCCGAAGUCAGUGACCUAACCGAGAGGAAGGAGCUGCCGAAGGCGGGGCAGGUAACUGGGGUGAAGUCGUAACAAGGUAUC
rnacentral:rRNA from 1 species